GACGAACCGUGCGAACGUUAUUCGGAAUCACUGGGCUUAAAGCGCGUGUAGGCGGAUGGGGACGUCGGUCGCUGAAAUCCCCCGGCUCAACCGGGGAACGGGCGCCGAAACGCCCCGUCUGGAGGGACGUAGGGGGACCUGGAACUUCCGGUGGAGCGGUGAAAUGCGUUGAGAUCGGAAGGAACGCCCGUGGCGAAAGCGAGGUCCUGGACGUCUUCUGACGCUGAGACGCGAAAGCUAGGGGAGCGAACGGG
rnacentral:rRNA from 1 species